GUCAACUAGGUAAACAAAUUAGAACAUCUUUCACAACCAAGAAGGUUGUCUCCAUCUUUUGAACUGCUGCACAUUGAUUUAUUUAGACCUAUUAGCACAAUUAGUCUAGGAGGGAAGUCAUAUGGCUUUGUGAUAGUUGAUGACUACUCUAGGUAUACUUAGGUCUACUUCCUUGCUCUUAAGAAUGAUGCACUACCAACAUUCAUAAAUCAUUGUAGGAAAGUUGAAAAUGAAAAAGGAUUUGCCAUAGUUAGUAUUAGGAGUGAUCAUGGUGUUGAGUUUGAAGAGAUGAGUUUGAAAACUUUUUCAAUGAAAAGGGGUUACAUCAUAAUUUUUCUGCACUUAGAACACCCCAGUAAAAUGGAGUUGUAGAAAGGAAAAACUGAACCUUAAAAUAGAUGGCUCGAACUAUGCUUUGUGUAAACAUUCUACCAAAAUAUUUUUGGGCAAAAACUGUCAACACAGUAGCAUAUAUCCUUAAUAGAGUCUCAAUUAGAGCCAUGAUAUCAAAGACUCCAUAUGAACUUUACAAGGGUAGGAAACCAAAUAUCUCUCACCUUAGGAGUUUUGGUUGUAAGUGUUUUGUAUUGAACGAUGGAAAAUAUUCUCUAGGAAAGUUUGAUGCAAAGAGUGAUGAGGCAAUAUUUUUAGGAUAUGCAUUAAAUUCAAAGGCCUAUAGAGUUGUUAACAAAAGGACUUUAUUGAUGUCAUGACCCGGUACUCUCCUCAAGCCCGUGACAACCGCCGCAAUAUCCUGAUAGAGAUUCAUCGCCCGGAAUACCGAUCGGAAUCUCGUAAGGCUUUAAUAUCAGUUUUCUCACCUCCCCUAUGAUCAACAGUUGUAACAUAACAUGUUUUGAGAGGUUAUGAACUAUUUCCAAAUCAAAAUAAUAGAAAAAUAAUUUUUUGUCUCACAGGGGUAUUUUGGUCAUUUUUCCUCAUAAAUCUCGAAACCAGUUAAAAAUGUGGUAUACGAGUGGAAAACACAUAUUUCAUAAUAAAAAAUAAAUUUAGAUGUCUAAAACAUUCAUUUAAAACGAAACUAUAUCUAUUUAAAUAUAACAAAAAUAUUCAAUAAAAUAUUCUAUUUUCUUAUAAAACAAUAUUUAUAGAGUUACUGGUAAAUAAUUUUUAUAGCGUAAAAGCUAAAUAAAUUCAUAUAUACUGUAAUACAGAUAACCAAAGUAUAAAAUUUAAUUUACAGUGACACGUGAGCCCACGAAUGACUAAAAUUAUCAAAAGAAAUGAACCUACAGUUUUUGGAUGUGACAAGUCCAACUGUAGUCCUCGACUAUAUCAGUUAUCUAUAAUCUAUUCUUAGCUUGAAAUGGGUGGAAAGGAGGGUGGUGAAAUUAUAUAAUCCCAGUGAGUAAACAAAUACCAUCUAAAAUAUCUAAAGCCGAGUAAAUGGAGACAGAUAAAAUAGUUUAACAUAUUGUAAUUCAUCACCUUUCAACAAGUUUCAACCAAAUAAAAUCAAUUUAUAUAAUCGAGUAAUUAAAAUGGCUUAUGAAUUUCUUCAAAGAUUUGGCUCGUGCCAAAUCAUUCUCAUACUCAGUUAUCAGGGAUACCUUUGUCGCGGGCAAUCCCAAAACGAGUCUGCCAAGGCUAUUAAAAAUUUAUGUACUCAUAAAUCAGGUUUUUAUUUUGAAAACAUAGCCGUUCCUUGGCGUUGGCUGAGUUCGCCCUCACAUGGUAGUUUGGCGUGAAGUGAACUCUAAAAGUUAUACCUCGGAAGUUACCCUACUCGCCUCUCCAACCGAAGUAAAAUAUAUCAAGAUUCCGUGCCCCUCUAAUAGGCUAGUCUACAGAACCUCGCCCACUGCAGCAAGCUAAACCCACCAUAUAAUAAAAUUUGUUAUAGCAUGACAUGACAAUUAUUUUAUUUUACAGCCUCUCAAGGCAAAUCAACAGUUCAUGCAUUUUCAGCACAUUUAUCAAGUCAACCAUUCAUGCCAAUAUUGCCAUAAGCCAAUAAAUUAGAACCAUAAAUUUACAACACAUCAAGUGGUCUCCAAUUACUCUAUUUUCAAAGCCAUCAUUUAAUUUCAAGACAAUUUAUAAAAUCAUUUCAUUUAAACAUAUUUUAUUUAUAAAACAUAAAGAUUUACCAUUUAAACUCAUUGUCCAAAAAAAUCACAAAAUCGGAUAAAAAUCACUUUAGAUAAUUAAGACGAUAGUAAGGUUACUCACUGUUUCGGGAGUCAAAUUUCGAGUACUCCGAUUCUUGAUCCUCGGGUACUAUCUCUUUACUUUUUCCAGAAUGCUCACCAUUUAGACAUAAUGCACAAUAAGCCAUUUACUACAAUUGUGCUAAAUUGUUAUAAAACCAAUUCAGGCUCUAUACUAAUGCAUGAAAUGGGAUGUGAAAUACUCGGGUAACUAUCUAAAUAUGGUGUUCAAUAUAAAUUCACUUGUGUACCUAAAUAAAUCGGUAUUAGCUUAAUUCGAUCUAUCACCCGAUUAAUUGGCUAAUACGUCCAUUUUAACUCCAAUUAACUCCAUGUUUCUUCCAAUUCUUAAUUCACCAAACACAAGUCAAAUAACCUAAAAUUUGGCAAAUCCAUCUUCACUUUUCUUCUUAGAAUUUUUGGUCAAUAAUGGUGCAUCAACACCAUGAUUUUUCCUACUACUUUUCCACACCAUAAUACUUCAUUUUCUAACCAAUUCUCUUAAAAUAAAAAUCAAAUUCAUCCUCACUCAAUACAAGGUAGGUUCGGCCAUUAAUGGGUGAUGGGGAAAAUGAAUUCUUUUCUUGUUGUUUUACUUCUAGACAUGGUAAACUAACUAAAAACACUAACAUAACUUGAAAUCAAAUCAAUCCAACUUCAUUCUCUCUCCAUACCCAUUCGGCUAGCCAUGAAUUCACCAUGAAAACAUGUAAUUUAACCAUGAAAAAUAAGGAGAAAUGCUUAAGGAAGAUAGAUUUCAAGUUUAAAUUGAGAAAUCCUACCUUUUUCACUUGUUUUCCUUGAUUUUUCAACACUUUUCUCUUGAAAUUCUCCACCUAGGGUUUGGUUCUUCAUUUUCCUUCCUUUGUUCUUCCUUUG
rnacentral:lncRNA from 1 species